GGUUGGGUAGUUUAGUGGUAGUUUAGUGGUAGAACACCGGCAUGGAUGCUGGAGACCCAGGUUCGAAUCCUGGUCCAACCG